rnacentral:rRNA from 1 species
UACGUAGGGUGCAAGCGUUGUCCGGAAUUAUUGGGCGUAAAGAGCUCGUAGGCGGUUUGUUGCGUCGGCUGUGAAAUCCCCAGGCUUAACCUGGGAACUGCGCUCGAUACUGUUUGAGCUAGAGUGUGGAAGGGGCUACUGGAAUUCCUGGUGUAGCGGUGAAAUGCGUAGAUAUCGGGAGGAACACCAGUGGCGAAGGCGGCCUUCUGGGCUAUCCUGACGCUGAGGAGCGAAAGCGUGGGGGAGCAACCGG